CACCGACAGCUCUAGUGGUAGCAGUUUUUAUUGGGCCUAAAGCGUCCGUAGCCGGUUUAAUAAGUCUCUGGUGAAAUCCUGUAGCUUAACUGUGGGAAUUGCUGGAGAUACUAUUAGACUUGAGACCGGGAGAGGUUAGAGGUACUCCCAGGGUAGAGGUGAAAUUCUGUAAUCCUGGGAGGACCGCCUGUUGCGAAGGCGUCUAACUGGAACGGUUCUGACGGUGAGGGACGAAAGUUAGGGGCGCGAACCGGAUUAGAUACCCGGGUUGUCCUAACUGUAAACGAUGCGGACUUGGUGUUGGGGUGGCUUUGAGCUGCUCCAGUGCCGAAGGGAAGCUGUUUAGUCCGCCGCCUGGGAAGUACGGUCGCAAGACUGAAACUUAA
rnacentral:rRNA from 1 species